GACGAACGCUGGCGGCAGGCCUAAUACAUGCAAGUCGAACGAUCCUUCGGGAUAGUGGCGCACGGGUGAGUAACACGUGGGAACAUACCCUUGGGUGCGGAACAACGUCGGGAAACUGACGCUAAUACCGCAUAAUGACUCCGGUCCAAAGAUUUAUCGCCCAAGGAUUGGCCCGCGCUAGAUUAGGUUGUUGGUGAGGUAACGGCUCACCAAGCCUACGAUCUAUAGCUGGUCUGAGAGGAUGAUCAGCCACACUGGGACUGAGACACGGCCCAGACUCCUACGGGAGGCAGCAGUAAGGAAUAUUGGACAAUGGGGGCAACCCUGAUCCAGCCAUGCCGCGUGAGUGAAGAAGGCCUCGGUUGUAAGACACUUUAAGUACGAGGAGGAAGGUACGUUUGUAACUAAU
rnacentral:rRNA from 1 species